CGGCAACAGCUCAAAUUUGAAAUCUGGCCCUCGGGUCCGAAUUGUAAUUUGUAGAAGAUGCUUUGGGUAUGGCCCCGGUCUAAGUUCGUUGGAACACGACGUCAUAGAGGGUGAGAAUCCCGUAUGUGACUGGGUGCUUUUGCCUAUGUAAAGCUCUUUCGAC
rnacentral:rRNA from 1 species